CUCGAAAUAAGAAUAGCUAAUUUUAUAAAAAAGUCUUUGUAGUAAAAGGGUUUUUAAUAUGAUAUUAGAAGUGAUAUGUUAGUCGGGUUUUAUAAUAUCUAGUUUCUUGGGAAAUAAAUAUAAUUUAGAUUCUAUAAGAAUAUAAUAUAGGGUAAAAGAAUAGAAGGGAAUAGCUUUUUAUUUAAUAUAAAUACCGGGGUAAAAGUUAAUUAUUAAUCUAGGCUUAGAAAUAGCCAUGUUUAUAAAAUGUUCUAAUUAAGGUGAGUAAUUAAUAUUAUUUAUAUAAGGAGGUUUAUAUAGUACCAGGGAAUUAUUUUUAUUAAUGUAAUAUAAAAUAAAAUGAUUUUAUUAGUAGAAUAAUUGUGUUUAAAUUAAGCAAAUUGAAAUAAUUUAGUAAAAUAUAUAAUUGAUUAGGUACAAUAGAGGAACUCAGCAAUUUUUUCUUUGCCUGUUUAUCAAAAACAUGUUUGUUUGUAGUUAUAAAGAAUUUAGCCUGCCCCCUGAUAAAUAAUUAAAGGGCCGCAGUAUUCUAACUGUGCAAAGGUAGCGUAAUCAUUAGGUUUUUAAUUAGAAUCUUGUAUGAAUGGCUGGACAAAAGAAAUCCUUUCUUUGUAUUAAUUUUUGAACUUAACUUUUAAGUGAAAAGGCUUAAAUAUUCCAAGGGGACGAUAAGACCCUAUAAAACUUUACAUUGUAGUUUAAAUUUAAUUUAAUUUGUUUGAUAAAAAUUUAAUUAGAUUAUAUGUUGUGUUGGGGAGACAAAGGUAAAAUUUUAUUUUAACUGCUUUAAGAGUUUAGCAAAUAUUAUUGGGUAUAAUAGAUCCUUUUUAAAGAUUAUUAAGUUAAGUUACUUUAGGGAUAACAGCGUAAUUUCUUUUAAGAGUUCUUAUCGAAAGAGAAGAUUGCGACCUCGAUGUUGAAUUAAAAUAUCUAUAUAAUGGAGAAGUUAUAUAAGAAGGUCUGUUCGACCUUUAAAAUUUUACAUGAUUUGAGUUCAAACCGGUGUGAGCCAGGUUGGUUUCUAUCUCUUGGGUUUGAGAAGGGCUAAUCUAGUACGAAAGGAGUGAGUAG
rnacentral:rRNA from 1 species